rnacentral:rRNA from 1 species
GCGAGCGUUAAUCGGAAUUACUGGGCGUAAAGCGCAUGCAGGUGGUUUGUUAAGUCAGAUGUGAAAGCCCGGGGCUCAACCUCGGAAUUGCAUUUGAAACUGGCAAACUAGAGUACUGUAGAGGGGGGUAGAAUUUCAGGUGUAGCGGUGAAAUGCGUAGAGAUCUCGAAGGAAUACCGGUGGCGAAGGCGGCCCCCUGGACAGAUACUGACACUCACGAUGCGAAAGCGUGGGGACGCAAACAGGAUUAGACUACCCUGGUAG